rnacentral:rRNA from 1 species
AACGAACGCUGGCGGCAUGCCUAACACAUGCAAGUCGAACGAGACCUUCGGGUCUAGUGGCGCACGGGUGCGUAACGCGUUGGAACCUGCCCUUAGGUUCGGAAUAACUCCCCGAAAGAGGUGCUAAUACCGGCUAAUGUCUUCGGACCAAAGAUUUAUCGCCUUUGGAUGGGCCCGCGUUGUAUUAGCUAGUUAUUAGGGUAAAACCGUCCCAAGGCGAGGAUCCAUAGCUGGUCUGAGAGGAUGAGCAGCCACACUGGGCGUGAGACACGGUCCAGAAUACUACGCGAGGCAGCAGUGGGGAAUAUUGGACAAUGGGCGGAAGGCUGAUGCAGCAAUGCCGCGUGAGUGAUGAAGGCCUUAGGGUUGGAAAGCUCGUUUAUCCGGGAUGAUAAUGACAGUACCGGGAGAAUAAGCUCCGGCUAACUCCGUG